rnacentral:rRNA from 1 species
CAGAGGUGGCAAGCGUUGUUCGGAUUUAUUGGGCGUAAAGGGUCCGUAGGCGGUUUGGAAAGUCGGGUGUGAAAUCCCACAGCUCAACUGUGGAACUGCACUCGAAACUUCCAGACUAGAGUAUGAGAGGGGUAAAGGGAAUUCCCGGUGUAAGGGUGAAAUCUGCAGAGAUCGGGAGGAACACCUGUCGCGAAGGCGCUUUACUGGCUCAUUACUGACGCUCAGGGACGAAAGCUAGGGUAGUAAACGGGAUUAGAUACCCCGGUAGUCCUAGCCGUAAACUAUGGUCACUAGGUGUUGGAGGGGUUAAACCCUUCGGUGCCGACGCUCACGCAUUAAGUGACCCGCCUGGGGAGUACGGUCGCAAGGCUG